rnacentral:rRNA from 1 species
GACGAACGCUGGCGGCGUGCUUAACACAUGCAAGUCGAACGGUAAGGCCCUUCGGGGUACACGAGUGGCGAACGGGUGAGUAACACGUGGGUGAUCUGCCCUGCACUUCGGGAUAAGCCUGGGAAACUGGGUCUAAUACCGGAUAGGACCCUGGGAUGCAUGUCCUGGGGUGGAAAGCUUUUGCGGUGUGGGAUGGGCCCGCGGCCUAUCAGCUUGUUGGUGGGGUGAUGGCCUACCAAGGCGACGACGGGUAGCCGGCCUGAGAGGGUGACCGGCCACACGGGGACUGAGAUACGGCCCAGACUCCUACGGGAGGUAGCAGUGGGGAAUAUUGCACAAUGGGCGCAAGCCUGAUGCAGCGACGCCGCGUGAGGGAUGACGGCCUUCGGGUUGUAAACCUCUUUCAGCACCGACGAAGCGCAAGUGACGGUAGGUGCAGAAGAAGGACCGGCCGACUACGUGCCAGCAGCCGCCGCGG